rnacentral:rRNA from 1 species
CCUCGACACGUCACACUUUGAGUGUGAGCAGCAUCUGUUCCUUAGCCGGGCAGGUGCACAGGAUUUAACUGGAGAGUUUGAUCCUGGCUCAGAACGAACGUUAGCGGCGCGCCUAACACAUGCAAGUCGAGCGAGAAAGGGGCAACCCCGGUAAAGCGGCGCACGGGUGAGUAACACGUAGGUAAUCUACCCUCGGGUGGAGGAUAACUUUCCGAAAGGAAGGCUAAUACUGCAUGAGACCACGAUUCCGGAAGGGAUUGAGGUCAAAGCCGGCCACUGUACACAAGCUGGCGCCUGAGGAUGAGCCUGCGGCCCAUCAGCUAGUUGGUAGGGUAAUGGCCUACCAAGGCGAAGACGGGUAGCUGGUCUGAGAGGAUGAUCAGCCACACUGGAACUGAGACACGGUCCAGACUCCUACGGGAGGCAGCAGUGGGGAAUCUUGCGCAAUGGGCGAAAGCCUGACGCAGCGACGCCGCGUGAGUGAUGAAGG